rnacentral:lncRNA from 10 species
UAUACAAGAAUAUCUUUGUGACCUUGGGGUACAGGAAGAGUUUUUAAGCAAGAUCCAAAAAGUGCCAAGCCAAAUAAAAGAUUGAUAAAUGUUUCUACAUUAAAAUUAAGAAAUCCUGGCUAUAAAAGGGCACUAUGAACAGAAUGAAAAGUCAAGCCACAGAGAUGAUGGUUGGAAUGCAUAUAAGCAACAGAAGGCUGAAAUCCAAAAUAAGCAGUAAGAAAGGCAGGCAACUGAGUCAAAAAAUGAGCAAUGACUUGAACAGGAAAUUCACAGAAAAUAUGGAAAUGCCAAAAAGCAUAUGAAAGAGUGCUCAAUUUUAUUUGUUAUCAGGGAAACCUAAAUUAAAAGCACGAGAUACCAAAUAUCUAAAACUAAGAAUGACAUUACUAAGUAUUGGUGCUGAUGUGAAGCAACUGGACCUCAUGCACUGCUGGGAGUGCAAAUUGUUAUGCCCACUUUGGAAAACAGUUUGACACUAUCUGAAGUUGAAAAUAAUGCAUUCUCUGUGACCCAGCUAUUCCAUUCCUAGGUAUAUACUUGUUAUGGUCUGAAUGUUUGUGUCUCCCUAAAAUUCAUAUGUUGAAAUCCUAACCCCCAAGGUGACAGUAUUAAGAGGUAGGGCCUUUGGAAGGUGAUUAGAUCAUGAAGUCAUAGCCCCCGUGAAUGGGAUUAGCACCCUUACAAUAAAAGAGGCUGAAGGAACUUCUUUGCUUGUUCUAGCAUAUAAUGACACAGUAAGAAGGUGCCAUCUAUGAAAGAAGCAGGACACCAGUCACCAAAUCUGCUGGUGCCUUGAUUUUGGACUUCUCAGCCUCCAGAACUAUUGCAGAUCACAGAACUUUAUUAAGAUGAAAUCACUGCGAAUUACACAGAAGCUACCAGACUAAGCCAAAAUCCAUGAGGUUCAUGUGAACUUACAGUUACAGAAAUAAGAAACAAAUGGCAUAUCCAAAACCAUAAGGAAAUAUCCUGAUGCCCAGGAUCUCCAGACUCGGUCAGCAUCUUUCGCUCGUCCUCCAGUCCUAUGUCUGGCUACGGUUCUGGAUUCAACACGAGCAGCAACUGCGGCACCUAAUCCACUUCAGGAUCUAGAAGGACUUGUAAGAGUCACUCAGCUGAUAUCCGGCGAUCUGGCCUGAAGUCAAUAUGCCGUCAUUAUUAACCUACAAAAUGAGAAUUCAUGUGAUUCAACCCAGUAUUUCACACACACACAAAAUAAUUUACCAAGGCUGGGCGCGGUGGCUCACGCCUGUAAUCUCAGCACUUAGGAAGGCCAAGGCGGGUGGAUAACCUGAGGUCGGGAGUUCGAGACCAGCCUGACCAACAUGGAGAAAGCCCAUCUCUACUAAAAAUACAAAAUUAGCCAGGCGUGGUGGCACAUGCCUGUAAUCCCAGCUAAUAGGGAGGCUGAGGCAGGAGAAUCUCUUGAACCCGGAAGGCAGAGGUUGUGGUGAGCCGAGAUCGCACCAUUGCACUCCAGCCUGGACAACAACAGCGAAAAUCUGUCUCAAAAAAAAAAAAAAAAUUACAUUAAGUUAAGCAGCCAUUCAAAAUGAUGGUUGUGGCUGGGCACGGUGGUUCACACCUGUAAUCCCAACACUUUCAGAGGCCAAAGAUGGCGAAUUGCUUGAGUCCAAGAGUUUGAGACCAGCCUGAGCAACAUAGUGAAACCCCAUCUCUACAAAAAAUAAAAAACAAAAAAAUUAGCGGAGUGCCGUGGUGCUGUAGUCCCAGCUACUUGGGAGGCUGAGGUGGGAGGAUCACCUGAGCACAGGAGGUCAAGGCUGCAGUGAAACGUGGUUGCACCACUGCACUCUAGUCUGGGUGACAGAGUGUGACCCUGUCUCAAAAAAAAAAAAAGGAAAAGAAAAAAAGAUAGUUGUGAAAACUAUUAAUAGCUUAAUUCACCAUUUAUUCAUUAAGCAAAUAUCUCCUGGGGUCUUAUCAUGAACCAGGCAUAUUUCUUUUUUUUUUUUUUCCCGAGACGGAGUUUCACUCUGUCGCCCAGGCUGGAAUGCAAAGGAGCCAUCUCGACUCAUGGCAACCUCCGCUUCCCGGGUUCAAGUGAUUCUCCUGCCUCAG